rnacentral:rRNA from 1 species
UUAAGCGACUAAGCGUACACGGUGGAUGCCCUGGCAGUCAGAGGCGAUGAAGGACGUGCUAAUCUGCGAUAAGCGUCGGUAAGGUGAUAUGAACCGUUAUAACCGGCGAUUUCCGAAUGGGGAAACCCAGUGUGAUUCGUCACACUAUCAUUAACUGAAUCCAUAGGUUAAUGAGGCGAACCGGGGGAA